CUUCCCCUCAAGGUACCCCGGCGGGCCCCCACCCCCACCCCCGCACCCAAGGGGACCGCCCCAACCCUAUCCUCUCCUCCCUUCCAGGACCGCACCCACAACACCUGGGGAGCCCCGCCACACUCUUUCGCCUCCGAGCCCGACUCCGGGGCAUCCUCCCCCCUUCCCCCCAGUUCCCUCCUUUCCAAAACCCUAGGUGCCCCUACUUCCAGGCACUCCCCAUCCCCGGACCUGACACUCCUCUCUGCCCCCAGGCUCCCGCUCCUUACCUCCCGACCCGACCCACAGCGCGCCCUCAUCUACCAAGGCUCCCGUUCUCCACGGGCCCCCUGCCCCCAGCCCACGGGCCGCGCUCGGGAGGGGUGCUCGCGGCGCCGCUGCCCGGGCGGCCGGGAGGUGACGCGGCCCCCGCGGGAGGAGCCCGGGAGGCGGAGGGGCGGAGGAGGCGCGGGCGGCCGCACCGAGCGGCGGAGGGUCCGCGGGCAGGCGCGUGAUGAGCAAGCACCCGCGCCCGGCCCUGCUGCGCGUCGGAGCUCGCGGGGAUCCGGGCGGUGGCAGCCGGAGGGCCCCGGCCCCGGGCCUCGCCGCCGCCCGCCCUCGUCACCCCGUCCCGGCUUUCGCUUCCCCGCUCUAGCCCGGGGCGGUCUCGGCGGCCGCCCCCGGCCCCGCGGCCCUUCCCCGAUCCCUUCGGGGGGGUCCUCCCUCCGCGGCGCCCGGAGGCUCAGGGACGCGUCAGUCGGCGGGACAGCCGAGCAGCUCCUCCGGGAGCCCGGCCCGGUUCCUCUCCACGCUCGCGGCCCCCGCCCCGGCGCCCCGCCCGCGGGAGGCCGCUGCGUCCCCGCGCUCCCAGCAAGUUCCCGGGACUCCCCCGGGGGCCGGGCCGCAGCUCCCCCUCUCCCCUGCGCGGCGGCGCGCGCCCCCGCCGGACUCCCUCGCGCCCGCUCCCUCCAGUCACCCCACCCUUCGCCGUCCCCGCCACCUUACUCCGCUCCCUCCCCCGCCGCUCGGCGCACACGCGGCCCGGCCCGGCCUCCCGCUCCUCUCUGCCAAACCGCUCACUUGCCAGCCCUUCGCCCCCGGGAAGGAGGAACGUUUCCCGGAGCGCGCUCCCCAGCCCUCGCUGCCCCCGCCCCACCCCGGCUCUUUUUCUCUCGGGGGAGGGGGGCUGUCGCCUCGGACUGA
rnacentral:lncRNA from 1 species